UUUUCAGUUGUGCUCAUCCUGCAUAUUUAUUAGAUUGAUGGGUUAAAAGAUCAUGAUUUAUUUUGACACAACAGAAAGUUAACAAUUUUCAAAAGAAAAUUCAUUUCAAAACAAGGAACGCCUUUGCAAAUACGGCCCGACCCUUCAGCACCUCAGGGAAGAAUGUUUUAGGGAUAUGUUUGCUAAUCGGAAAUUUUUUUAAAAAGGAACCAAAGGUGGCUAUUCUAGUAAAAGAAGCAUUCCUGUGUCCUUUUGGAAUGUUUUGGUCAUUUAGACAAGAACGACAUUACCUAACUUAUUUAUGAAAAAACAAUAAAAUUUUUGUUCUUUUUGGGUUAUUUUUUGCAAAAAUGGAGUUGGACCCGGUGAGGGUUGCCUACGCACCCCACACCCAAUAAGAUUCAAACUUGCAUUGGUCAGUUUUGACAUAAUAAAAACAUUACCAAAUAUAAAGCAAAAAUUCCUUUUUUUUCCCUCAAAAUUUCAUUAGAGUUUUGAUACUUUUUGGAUACCGAAAUUUUCAAAGACGGGUAAUUAUCUCUCUCAAUUCUCAAAUUGAUUUUUUUCAACUUUUCUCCAUUAUUUAAAAGCCGGUCAAUAUGCAAUCCAAAACAAAUAAAUGCACAAGUAGCAAGUAGAAUGCAUCAAGAUGGUCUUUUCAUUUCGGGUACACUUGUCCUAGGCUAACCUAACCCCUGUGUUGAGUCUCUAAAGUCAAAUGCACGUGAUGCAAACAAGAGCUCCUACUAGGGAUCUGACAUGAGGCUUUAUUAUACUAAGUUUAAAACUUUGGGUGUAUUGUUCUAGACCUAGCUUAUCCAAGUGGACAGCUCGAGCCGAGGGGACAGCAUACCGGAAAUACAGAAGCUUCACCGGCUUUGCAACUUGUCCGAACCUCGUUCUAAAAUUGGGAUAUAACUCUAAUAGAAAAGAAUUUACACGAAGUGUACACUUCCCGGAUAAUUUAGAAGACUCAGAGAGAAGAGGGUUCCAUAGAUUUUUUUAUAUACAGUCCAGACAAUAUCAAAGCGGUAAAAAGCAGAAAUUAGCAUAUUAGGCUCAACAUAUAAAAAUCAAAUAAAAACAAUCCAACUAUAGCAAUUAUUCUAAUAUUGAAUUCUUAAACCCUGAACAAAAGUUCUGGGUUCUUCUCCCCAGCAGAGUUGCCAGAGUUGUCACACCUCCUUUUUUACACCUGAGAGGUAAUAUAAGGGAGUUUUUUCAAAUAAAGUGACAUCAUUAAUAAUGAGAUAAUUUUAUUUAAUUUUUCAGAGUCGCCACUUGGAAUAAUUUAUUUGGUGUACCAAGUCACCGGUUUAUUUUAUUAUCCCAAAUCGAGGAAAUUUCAACUUUAUUUUAAAAGUUUGCGAAUAAGAAAUUCUAAGUAAGGAACUCGGUGUUAGGCAAUCCCGGAUUCUGUGGUUCGAGCACGGUCGCAUAAACUGUUUAAAUUGGCUUAAUUAUCUGAUUUAUUACAUGUUUAAACUAUUGUGCAUUGUUAGCUUUUAUAACUGCUUUUAUUUAUUUUAAACCGCUUUUAGGAUUUACGAAUUUAUUUCUUGAACAAGUUAUGAUUGUCGUACACUUAUUUGUUUUGGAAUACACCGCAAACCACGCUACAUGAAAUGCACCCUCGAUUUGCGACAUGUUAAUUUUAUUAAUAUUAUUCAAAGUUAUUAUGGUCUGGUCACAUGAAAUGCACACCCAAAUUUUAGUAACUCAAAAUCACAACUAAAUCAUGGGAACCGACCCGUAGCUAUUAUGAAUUAUUUAAAUAACGCGUCCAAAGCAACUAUGAAGAUUCAAUUUUUAAUAUCAACAUUUGUAAGGGUCGUGGAUGAUUUAAUUUAUUUAUGUCACACCUCAAACCUUUUUCUAUAAGUGUUAGUUCUUGAAUGUAAUCUUAUGAGGGCCAUGGAUUAUAAAUUUUGUUUGGCAUGGCGCGCCUCAAUUUAUUUUAAGAAAAUGGUUAUAUAUUUUAAAGGAGAAGAAGGGUUGCUCUGAUGGUAAGCAACCCCCACUUUCAACCGAGAGGUUGUGAGUUCGAGUCNNNNNNNNNNNNNNNNNNNNNNNNNNNNNNNNNNNNNNNNNNNNNNNNNNNNNNNNNNNNNNNNNNNNNNNNNNNNNNNNNNNNNNNNNNNNNNNNNNNNNNNNNNNNNNNNNNNNNNNNNNNNNNNNNNNNNNNNNNNNNNNNNNNNNNNNNNNNNNNNNAAACAGCCUCUCUACCAAAGGGUAGGGGUAAGGUCUGCGUACACACUACCCUCCCCAGACUCCACUAAGUGAGAUUAUACUGGAUUGUUGUUGUUGUUGGUGGUUAUAUAUUUUAAAGGCCAACUAAAGGUGCUCCUGUUUUUAAUCUAAUUUAAAAACUAAUUAAUUAUCACAACCACGUCACGGAAAUUAUACCCGUAGUUAUAGUAAUUCAAUUGUGUGUCUAAAGCAAACUACGAUAUUUAUGAAUUAUUUAACUUAAUCAAAUUUAGAAUAAAAUAGCAUAAGAAAUUGCGAUAUUCCAUCUUUAUGUUCAUGUUCAUAAGAACUUGAACAUGAAAAACAAAGAUAAAUCCUAUAGUUUAUCAAUCUCACCCAAUUUUAACAUUCAAACAAAUAAAUUUGGAAGUCCUAACUGCAUGACUAUCUGCCAACAUCUAUUGCGAAUCCACUUUAAUAGCCCAGUCCCAGGAGAAAAAUGGCUAGUUAAACCAAUAACCUUACGAAUAAAAAACCUUACAAAUCAUAUUUUUACUAGGCAUUUUGUCGAACAAUUUGCGAGCAAACCAAAUCUCCCCACAUAUGACGCACUUAUCCAUUACAGAGUUUCUCUCAAACAACUCAUACUUAAACCCCAUUUUCAAAGCAGCAAAAUGAAAUAUAACUGGACCAAAUGAGAUGCAAACUCAAAACGAAAAUCAAAAUCUGAACUAUUACUAACACCACACAAGCAUAAUCAGCGAAUACCUAUUCAGAUUUUAAAACUAAAACCAAAUAAGAACAAAUAAUUGGAGAAAACACAUCUCCUUCACACAGGUUCCACAAGGAACAAAAUACAUAAUCAUUAACAUUGUAACAUAACAAAACAAAAUGAAAGAAGUAAUCUUACAUUGAACCUUCGUAGAAACAUAAUUAAUCACUGCUAAUCGGACAAAAAAUGGAAGCCUCGAACGGAACCAACAAAUCUUCUCAUAAACCUCGGCAGACAACAAUCAAAUAAUUCUUAGUUUCUAUAUCCAAUUUUCUUUUACCCCGUCUUCUGUUCAUGCGUGUGUGUUUGUGUGAAUGUGUCGCGACUGAAGAUGUAAGGGAAGAGAUGUUGGAUGCGGCUGAUGUCCUGCUGCUUCGAGAUAGAGGAGGAAUAGCUAGGCCGGAGUAAAUGAGAUGGCAGGCGGUUUUCCAACGUCUUGGCUCGGCGACAGUGAGUUUUUAAGGGGCAGGAACUUUGGCGACAGGUUUCGUGUGUUUUAGAGGAGUUCGCUGGAUGAGAAACAACGGCUGGAUCCGGUUCAGGGAAUGAUCAUUAGGUUUUUAGGGUUAUUGGUGUUUA
rnacentral:lncRNA from 1 species